UAGGAAAAAACUUUAUUUCUAAAAGGGGAUAGUGGGAGGAUAAUUAAACUUGAGAAGUUUAAGACCUAUAAACUAUCCUAUCUUAACCUGUGGAGUGUCCUUAAGUUAAUCCUCAACUUGAUAUAUCCAGUGAUGAAGAACGAUCAUGAUACACACCUCUUCACCGAAAGGUCAAUUCGAGUGUGUAAUGUACCACCCAAAUAUGGGUUUAUCAUA
rnacentral:lncRNA from 1 species